rnacentral:rRNA from 1 species
UACGUAGGGUGCAAGCGUUUGUCCGGAAUUAUUGGGCGUAAAGAGCUCGUAGGCGGUUUGUCGCGUCUGGUGUGAAAAUCCAGGGCUUAACCCUGGACCUGCAUCGGGUACGGGCAGACUAGAGUGCGGUAGGGGAGAUCGGAAUUCCUGGUGUAGCGGUGAAGUGCGCAGAUAUCAGGAGGAACACCAGUGGCGAAGGCGGCUUACUGGUCCGGAACUGACGCUGAGGUGCGAAAGCGUGGGGAGCAAACAGG